rnacentral:misc_RNA from 1 species
AGCAGCCGCGGUAAUUCCAGCUCCAAUAGCGUAUAUUAAAGUUGUUGCAGUUAAAAAGCUCGUAGUUGAAUUUCGAGAUCAAAUUGUUGGUCGUGCCUUGGUACGCACUGGCAUUAUUGGUUUCUCCCUUCUGACGAACCAUGAUGUCAUUAAUUUGGUGUCUUGGGGAAUCAGGACUGUUACUUUGAAAAAUUAGAGUGUUUAAAGCAGGCUCACGCUUGAAUACAUUAGCAUGGAAUAAUGAAAUAGGACGUUUGAUUCUAUUUUGUUGGUUUCUAGGAUCGACGUAAUGAUUAAUAGGGAUAGUUGGGGGCAUUAGUAUUCAAUUGUCAGAGGUGAAAUUCUUGGAUUUAUUGAAGACUAACUACUGCGAAAGCAUUUGCCAAGGAUGUUUUCAUUAAUCAAGAACGAAAGUUAGGGGAUCGAAGACGAUCAGAUACCGUCGUAGUCUUAACCAUAAACUAUGCCGACUAGGGAUCGGAUGAUGUUAAUUUUAAUGUACUCAUUC